GCGGGCAUCGUAUAGUGGCAAUACCUCAGGUUUCCAACCUGAUGCCGGGAGUUCGAUUCUCCCUGCCCGCUCCA
rnacentral:tRNA from 8 species